rnacentral:rRNA from 1 species
GCCCUCUACUUUCUAACACCCACCUAAUAACAGAAACAUCUUUACCCUUUAGUACCCAAUCAAACCAGUCAAUACUCAUUACCCGCAAGGGCAUCACUUCGCACACGACAGAAAAGCUAAUACCUUGUCCCUUUUGCAUCAUGGUGAAGCAACAAAAACCUAAUAACUUUAAGCUCCCGAAUAACUAUGAGCUACUAAACCCUAAAAUUAAUGUUUCAUAAUUAAUACAGUAAUAUUUAGUAGAAGUAACAAGCCUCCCAUAUAGUUAGAUAGCUGGCUUUCCUUUAAAAACACCAAAGUGUCUCACCAUAGACUAAUUAUCACUCGCCUAUGGAUGUCAACCUUCCGAGGACCAGCUCUGAAGGGCAAAAAAAUAUCAUCACCCAAUUGUCUAAUAGUAGGCCUAAAAACAGCCACCCAAUAGCGUUCCAGUUAAUAAACUAUAAAUAACUAACAUCAAACCACAAUUUUCCAACAAAAGGAACCUGACGUUAAACCACAAUCGUCAACGAACCGGCAUUCCAUUAGUAUUUAUAACUGCUAAACCUACACAACUAAAAACAACUAAAACAAAACUUUACCAACCCAUCAACCGUAGAGAGUGAACUCGGCAACAAAGUUCUCUGCCUGUUUACCAAAAACAUCGUCCUUUGACACCUAGCAUAAAGGAUAAUGCCUGCCCAGUGAACAUUUAAACGGCCGCGUUAGCGUGAGCGUGCUAAGGUAGCGUAAUAAAUAGCCUCUUAAUUGGAGGCCAGUGAAUGGCAAGACUAAGAACACCUAUACACCCUACGUAAAAAAAAUUUUUCGUCUAAGUGAAAAGACUUAGAUGGUUAAGGAAGACGAAAAGACCCCGCGGAACUUUACUUUAUCUAAUACAAACACCAACAACUAAUAGUAUGAAAAGUUUGAUUGGGGCAAUCUCGGAACCCCCAAGCUUCCGACAUCUUAAGAAAAGUAUAAAAAACUCACUAUGGACAAGACAGAAGUUACCCCGGGGAUAACAGCGUUAUCCAACUUAAGAGUACGCAUCGAAAGUUGGGUUUGCGACCUCGAUGUUGGCUUAAGGACAUCCGCAUUAGUGCAGCCGCUAUGCAGGACAGUCUGUUCGACUGUUACACCCUUACACGAGCUGAGUUAAGACCGGCGCAAGCUAGGUUGGUUUCUAUCUCCUUUUUCUUAAUAUCACUCUUCAUUGUACGAAAGGACCUCAAGAGAUGCAGCAAGCAAAGCACACCUUACACAACCUAACUCUUACCUUACUAUAUAAAUCAAAC